GGGCUAAAACAUUUUAGGAUAGAAACAACUGCACCUGCCUUCUUUCAUGCAUGGAGAUUUUGUUCGCAGAAUUCCACAUGGGCCAUGAACCAUAUGGCUUUGUAGUAAUGUAUACAGUUUUAGGUCAUCUUCCUAUGAAAGUAUCUCUGCUGAUAUAAUUUGAUCAAUGUCAUCUGAAUAUGGAUAUUUAUUGUCGAGGUGUAAAAAUAGCAAUAGAUGGACAUGAGAAAGUCCUCACUUUUGAAAUUCU
rnacentral:lncRNA from 1 species